UACGAAGGGGGCUAGCGUUGUUCGGAAUUACUGGGCGUAAAGCGCACGUAGGCGGAUAUUUAAGUUAGGGGGUGAAAUCCCCAGGGCUCAACCCUGGAACUGCCUUUAAUACUGGGUAUCUCGAGUCCGAGAGAGGUGAGUGGAAUUCCGAGUGUAGAGGUGAAAUUCGUAGAUAUUCGCAAGAACACCAGUGGCGAAGGCGGCUCACUGGCCCGUUACUGACGCUGAGGCACGAAAGCGUGGGGAGCAAACAGGG
rnacentral:rRNA from 1 species